rnacentral:lncRNA from 1 species
GUUAAUUUUUAUUAUCAAAAAAACAAAAUCAGUCAUAACAUCACAAUGCUUUAAGGGUCAUGAGCACCUCAUAGAACACAGCAAGAAGUAAAACUCUUCAAAGUACUUUAACUUGUAAUGACAAAAUAUUAAAAAAAUACUCUGUUCUGAUGUCACUGGUUUUAAGUGCUGUGUUGUCCAUUUUUGUUUUUUUAAAACAAGUUUAGUCUUGAGAAGCUACGCGCCUCUCUGGUUCCAGAAACUGGCAAACUUUAAAAGAGUUAAAAGUUCACAGAGCUCCGGAGAUGUCUGGAGAACGGUCCGAGAGAUCACGUUCACAGACCUCAGCACCUCUUCGGAAGUGUAGUGGUUCUUGAAGUCGCAUCAAAGAGCCGAAGAGUUCAUUACGCCAAUUAGCAGCGUUUGAUCCGAGAGUUGCUCUCGACACAUUUUAUACACAUAUCACGUCCACAGCUAAAUAGCGACUCCAGCUCCGAGAUCUGUCCAGAUCUUUCCUCAGCAGCCUCCAUCACAGAAGGAAGACGAAGUCCCCUUGUUUCAGGGCUCUGAAUGAGUGACCUCAUGUAUUACAGGACCACCAGUUCGAACAAAGCAAAGGGCGUAAUUAUCCAGCCCCCCCCUCUAGCUGAGGUUUAAUAACACUUAAGGAUUCUCACAUUUUUGGAUUUAUAAGGCUGAAAGAUGCGAUUUUUUUCUUCUUUGGCACCAAGAAAUGAUUGCCCACAAUUCUCUGCUAUCUGCUACCCAUCUACAUUCAAGGGUGAAGGCAGCAGCUAUAAUAGAGACAAAAAUCCUCACAGGUCUUCAACCCUGGUCCUGAAGAACCUCAACCCAGUUCGCGAAGUAGUCUGGGACCUCUGGUCCAGUCAGUCCAGGGGGUCUGUGUCCUCUGGUCCAGUCAGUCCAGGGGUCUGUGACCUCUGGUCCAGUCAGUCCAGGGGGUCUGUGUCCCUGGCCCAGUCAGUCCAGGGGGUCUGUGUCCCUGGNNNNNNNNNNNNNNNNNNNNNNNNNNNNNNNNNNNNNNNNNNNNNNNNNNNNNNNNNNNNNNNNNNNNNNNNNNNNNNNNNNNNNNNNNNNNNNNNNNNNCCAGUCAGUCCAGGGGGUCUGUGUCCCUGGCCCAGUCAGUCCAGGGGGUCUGUGUCCCUAUGUGACCCUGUGUAUAUUUUGUUGCCUGCUGAGACACACCUGUUUCUCGUUGCUUUUCGGGAAUAAGCCCUUUCCACCCGCGGGUCAGCUGGUUUCUCUCGGCGGCCAUCUUGGUCAGGUCUACAUCAAGUAUAUUGAGCAGAUCAGAUCGUUCCCGAAAUAUCGGUCCUCGAUGACCCUUCCCCUGGCCCUCUUACACAGCUCAUCAACAACAAUCUUCGAUCGCUAAUCGCUAAGCACGAUUCCACCUGAGUAGUUGGCAACGGCUCCGUUUCAACCGAAGUACCCCCUCGGAAUUUCAGGUUUUUCUCCCCCUGUCUCCCAUGUAAGAGACUAACAUGCUUCAUGCGUCUUGUUUAGUUCCAGACUGGGCCAAAAACACCCCCCCCCCCCGUCAUAAACAGCGUCAGAGGGCCGCUUCACCUCGCCAGAAGUCUCGCUGUCUCGUUCCGCAUCGCAGGGGCAAACCUGGACAUGUUGUCCAUUUUUGUGAUGGGACACUGCGACGUGCAAAAACCUUCAAUUGACAUUUUGGUUUUGAAAUGCACUCGUCGUCGCCGAGUGCUCUUCCUAACCCCAAACCAGAGCUUCUCUCUCUUCUUCAUAGUAAUACAUAAUAUGCCGUCUGUUAUAUCAGUGCUAGAUUAGUUUUAGAACUACCUGGAGGCGUUAGACAGGGCUGUGCGAAAUAUGCAGGAACAACACAGCUGCACUUAUGGUGAAAAGCGCCUAAUUCUACUUAACGUUCCUGAUAUAGUGCUGCAGACGAGAUCAGACCACUUUCUUGGCCCUAUACAAUGUCUUGCAUGAGGAAUCGGUCUUGUCGCAGACCCCAGCUGGCUCUCCAGGAGACACACAGACAGGGAGAGAGAGAAGCUGGGGGUGAGAGCGCAGGGGCAGACAUUGUACAGCGCCACCUGGAUCAGCUGGGGUUCAGGGCCUCGCUCAGGGGGGCCCCAACAGAGUAGGAUUCCUCUGCCGGCCGCGGGAUUUGAACCGGCAAACCCCUCCCAGCCCCAGGCGCAGAUCCUGAGCCACAGCUCCACCCCGGUUUAGCCUAUCUCGAGCCACUAGACAACUAUACGUCCUACGCUCUCCAAUCUACAACUUUCCCGGCUACACCACUCCUCUGGAACUGGGGCUCCGGAUCUCCCAGAGGCUGUGCCGGUCUGAGAACACCGCUGCCAUCCUCACCGAAGCCCACCAGCGCCUUCGCAUCCUGCGCCGGUUCAGGAAGUGGGGGAUGAGCAAGUCAACACUCACCAGUUUUUACCGUAGUACCACUGCGAGUGUCCUGACCGGUGGUAUUAUGGUGUGGUAUGGCAGUUACCACACAGCUAACUGCCCCCGAGUGCCCAGACACCUACCACACAGGUAACUGCCCCCGAGUGCCCAGACACCUACCACACAGGUAACUGCCCCCGCGUGCCCAGACACCUACCACACAGGUAACUGCCCCCGCGUGCCCAGACACCUACCACACAGGUAACUGCCCCCGAGUGCCCAGACACCUACCACACAGGUAACUGCCCCCGAGUGCCCAGACACCUACCACAC